AGUGAACGCUGGCGGUAGGCCUAACACAUGCAAGUCGAACGGCAGCACAGUAAGAGCUUGCUCUUACGGGUGGCGAGUUGCGGACGGGUGAGGAAUACAUCGGAAUCUACUUUUUCGUGGGGGAUAGCGUAGGGAAACUUACGCUAAUACCGCAUACGACCUACGGGUGAAAGCAGGGGAUCUUCGGACCUUGCUCGAUUGAAUGAGCCGAUGUCGGAUUAGCUAGUUGGCGGGGUAAAGGCCCACCAAGGCGACGAUCCGUAACUGGUCUGAGAGGAUGAUCAGCCACACUGGAACUGAGACACGGUCCAGACUCCUACGGGAGGCAGCAGUGUGGAAUAUUGGACAAUGGGCGCAAGCCUGAUCCAGCCAUACCGCGUGGGUGAAGAAGGCCUUCGGGUUGUAAAGCCCUUUUGUUGGGAAAGAAAAGCAGCAGGUUAAUACCCCGCUGUUCUGACGGUACCCAAAGAAUAAGCACCGGCUAACUUCGUG
rnacentral:rRNA from 1 species